CAGAUAUAAGGCCAGAGGUGAAAUGAUUUAGUUUUAGAGCUUUCUGUCUGUAUUCUAAGGAAAAGAUAUCCACGAGUGAACAACUAUUAAACUUCAAUUGGUGUUGCUCAUAGUUGUAUUCAAUAGCUCAUAGUUGAAUUCAACGCAACAACCAGGAAAAUUCCAUGCAGAAUCAGUUGGUUAUGAAGAUUUAAUAAUUAUAUGAUAGAAGUCGACACGUUGUUUGCUGCUUUAAAGGUAACUGCUGUAUAUGGACUAUGGUCUGAUCUAUCAUUCAACAUAGUUUCUCGUACAGAUUAACUCUCUCUAAUGUACUUACUGCGCUUCUGAUUCGAAUAGCUUAGUUCUG